rnacentral:tRNA from 1 species
GGACAGGUGUCCGAGUGGUUGAAGGAGCCGGUCUCGAAAACCGGUGUACCGGCAACGGUACCGUGGGUUCGAAUCCCACCCUGUCCG